UCCUACCGGAGGCAGCAGUGGGGAAUAUUGCACAAUGGGGGAAACCCUGAUGCAGCCAUGCCGCGUGUGUGAAGAAGGCCUUAGGGUUGUAAAGCACUUUCAGUUGUGAGGAAGGUAGCGUAGUUAAUACCUGCGUUAUUUGACGUUAGCAACAGAAGAAGCACCGGCUAACUCCGUGCCAGCAGCCGCGGUAAUACGGAGGGUGCGAGCGUUAAUCGGAAUUACUGGGCGUAAAGCGUACGCAGGCGGCUAAGUCAGUCAGAUGUGAAAGCCCGGGGCUUAACCUCGGAACGGCAUUUGAUACUGCUUAGCUAGAGUUUUGUAGAGGGUGGUAGAAUUUCAGGUGUAGCGGUGAAAUGCGUAGAGAUCUGAAGGAAUACCAGUGGCGAAGGCGGCCACCUGGACAAGAACUGACGCUCAUGUACGAAAGCGUGGGGAGCAAACAGGAUUAGAUACCCUGGUAGUCCACGCCGUAAACGAUGUCUACUAGUUGUCUGAGAGUUUAACUUUUGGGUAACGCAGCUAACGCAUUAAGUAGACCGCCUGGGGAGUACGGCCGCAAGGUUAAAACUCAAAUGAAUUGACGGGGGCCCGCACAAGCGGUGGAGCAUGUGGUUUUAUUCGAUGCAACGCGAAGAACCUUACCUACCCUUGACAUACAGUGAACUACCAGAGA
rnacentral:rRNA from 1 species